UGAUUGGGCCGGCUGGACGGCCCCACCCGGGGCCCAGAGGCGCGGCGCUCGCGGCCCACGCGGGGCGGGCGGGCCUGGGGUCGUCGGCUGGCGUGCCCGAGGGCUUUCACCAGCAGAGCCGCCGUCCGAGGUUCCGGUCUCCGCCUGGGGCCGCCUGAGCACUGCGGCUUACUGGGCUGCUCGGGAUGACGUGGGGGGAGGGGGAAGAAGCAGCUGCGCCGCGGCUGCUCGCGGCCAGAGCCCGAGGCGGGGUCGGUUUCUUGGCAACGGGGCCCCUCUCGGGUCGCGCCCACCCCCUUCUUGGUCGGUCUCCCCUCCCCCAUUGAACCUCCGCGGAGUCAGAGCCCCGGGACCCGAGGCGGAGCCCAGCCGGGUCCGCCCUCCCUAGCCUCCCGGAACCCGCCCGGAAACGUGCAGUACCCCGCCCGGGCCGAGGGCGAGAGCAGGCCGGUGGGUGGAGCGCUUGGAGAGGCGGGAGAGCCCGGGUCCUGGGUUCCAGCCCGGGCCAGGAGCCCCGGGGCCCCUCUUUCCAUUCCGCUGGGAAAACGGAGGCACAGACUGUCCCAAGGCCGCACCAAAAAUUAGCAAACCACGAGGAAGCCAAGGGAAAGCCUAUGGGGAGAGACCCGACAGAGACCGGGAUUUUUCCCAGGCCCUGAGUCCUGGGGGUCUGGAGUAGACAAGAGGGGCUACGAAGGCCUGGGCGCCCGCUGCCCCGACAGCUUCCCCGAGGGGUGGACCGAGCUGGAUCACCGCGACGGCCCCCAACCUCACGAAAUUAAUGAGGAAGAUGCCUUUCUUUCCUCAGUCGAGGAGUAGAGAUUCCGUUUAACCUCUGCAGACAGUACGACAGGGACCACUCUCCCUCCCAGCCUGGCGCCAGCAGGAACCCGAGGGCAUGUCAACAGGAGCCAGGAACUGGAGGCGAAGCAUCCUUCAUUUCCUCUGCAGCGGUGGAACAAGUGAGGGCGUUUUCAAACUUGGGAACCUGCCUUGAAGCCUGACUAAAUUGUCUGGGUUGGAGCUCAGGACGACUGGCCCAUGUCUUGCUCUGUGAAAUUACACAUGUCAUUUCUCACUUGUCCGUUCAAGAAACACUAUGGAGGACCUUCUGUCUGCUUGAGAUUUUGCAAUUAUGGAGCUGACACUUCAGAUUAGAAAAUAACAAAGAAGGAAGCCACCAAAUGGAAGCAUGGAAGGCUUUGCAGAAGAAUUGAUGUUUGAUAUGGGUUCUGACAGAUGAAAAGGAGCUCCCUGGGUGGUGUCAGUUCAUCUUCUAUAAGAUAAGGUGGUUAGACUAGGUCUACGUGGAGGACCCAUUUAAUCCUAAUAGAUUCUGUGGUUAUAACCUGCCCGUAAUCAACUUUUUCUUCUCUGUGUGUCCCUCGAGGGAGUUGAAAGACCACCAUGGACUUCCUGUCAUCAUUCUUUAUUUUGUUAGCUGAAGCAAUCCAAAUUGAGCUGUUGGUCUUGAGUCUCCCAGUUGUGUUUGGAGGCCAAAGCAUUAUCAUGUUAACCAGUCUGUAACCUUCUUAGGGAUUGGUCUCUUGGGCUCAUAGAUUUAUUUCCAUCCAUCUAGUUCCCAAGGCAUUUCACUUAGUUACUGUAGCUAUACCAAGCUAUACCAAGGCCCAGCCAUUUUGAUGAGCCAUUUGCUCAUCAAAACAUGGGUGCCUGUAGUUGAUACCCUCAGCCUUCCCAACUGCUUUUAUCUUCCCUCUCUUCCUGUAGGACAUGCAGUUCAAUAUUCAGCAUGCAUCCUGGCCUUUGGGUUAAUUGUUCAUCCUGAUACUCUGCCAAAACAGGUCGAACUUUGUGCUUUGAUGGCCUUUUCACCCAUGUGACAUGAACCAUCUGUUGGGGCAAAGCUUAAAACAGCAAUUGUCAUUUGACAAGUAGUUGGCAGUAUCACAUCUCUACUCUGUUAUGGAAAAUUAUUUUUCUGUUUUCAUCUUCUCAGUUUUUGUGGAUGUUUGUACUUUAAAAGGACAAUUUCUGAAACUUCUGGAGAAGUAAGAUAAGACUGUUUAAAUUUGGUUGCUAUAUGUUUGUUGAAUGAGUUUGCCUGGGCUAUCGUGCUGAGUCUAAUAUGUUGUCUUUUUAGGGACCUGGCUGCAUCUAGCCGUGUGAUCCAGAGCCUGGUGGAGGGCUGGGAAUGCUAGCAGCUCCUCUAACUCUUACUACUAUAAACCAGAGGAAUAGUUGAGACCUCUGCUUCUGGCUCUGAACACCAGCCUGGAUCAAACCAAACCUCCCACCUCAAACAAGCAGAACAGCUGGAUAAUUUAAAAAAUCUGUCUGACAGUAAGAACCUGAGAGGGCAAGAUCCUGGAGAGAAUGGAAACAUAGAAAGCACGUGGCUUCCACAGCAAACUGCCUUGCUGGGGACGUGGAUGGAGUCGGGUGCAGCCAGGUGGGCCAACCUGGGUUCAGGCAUCUGACUGUGCCCCCUGAAUCCGGAGCAACACAGCCGCCUCUCCGCUGGGCCCUGGCCACUCAUCCACUGUCUCUGCGGUACCCACGGACUCUUCACACGGAGGCGACUAAGAAAACAUUUCUCAGGGAGAACAGACUUGAAUGGUAACAUCCCUGCAUAUUAACAGAAACGGAGGAGUAUUUAGAGCUUAUGUGGUUUGAAUGUGACCUUCUUACCAGACUAGCUCACAAUAACAAUUUAGUUAUUUUCGAAAAUGGCUGUACUUCUAAAUAAUUAGAUAUUGUAAUCAUUUCCAUCAGUGACUCCAUUCGGAGCCCUGUUUCCGUUAACAUGGUCAUUGUGCUACCGUGGCCUGCAUGUAGCGCUCGGUCUUUGGAAAUAGGAAGUGUAUGUUAAGCGUUCUAUUAUUUCUGCUGCCCACCGCAAGCUCUGCUGUAUUUUUCCCAGUGUUCCUAUUUGGAGAAGGAUUCUGUGCUGUUGAAUUUUGAUAUUCCUAGUGUCCUCUGCAAAGGUUGUCUCUCAUUUGAGUUGCUUCUUUUAACCCUUGGCAGUGGUUUUGAAGAGAAGAGGCACGUGAAGACGGUCUGAGUAUUUUGUAAACAACCAAAGCUGAUUUAUCAAAAAGAGCACUUUUUUCUAGUGUAACGGUCUCUGUCAAACUUCUUUCUCUUUUCCGAGUGCUGGAGAAUGUGCUGGGUCUGGCCUUUGCAUUUGGAAAGUUAGAAUGACGCCUCCUUCUCUGUUUUAAUAUAUUUCACCUCUCUGAGGCAGACGGAGCGGAAGCUCACAAGGAAAAGCGAUGCCCUUUCCUGUGGUGACAUUAACCGGAAUCACGUGGAAAACAAUCCAAGCCUUGUAGGAAAAGGGAGCCAUUAAAAUGUGCCCUGAGCGAUUGGCUGCACCCAAUCUUGCAGCCUGGCUCACUCGCGGCAGCAGUCAGGAGGCUGCUCCCCUGGACGGAGAGAGCCUUGUUGUAGCGCCACAAUUAAAAUCAGCUCCUCUGCCAAAAAUAAAAGGGAGGAGGGAGGGAGGAGAACAUCAAAGACAGACUGAAAUGUGUAGUUAGUAGUAAGAGUGGUCUCCUCUUGAACCAAAGCCUGCAGCGAUUCACGGCCCCCUUGUUAAUGAGAAAUUUUGACCUCUGGUUUGUAAGUUAAACUUGUAAUCCCAGCUAAUGAAGUAAAUCACUUCCAACUUGAGUCUGUUGUUCCCAUCUGCUCUGCACACUGCGUCUGAGAGUGAGGAUCCAGGUCCACACACACAGACUGAAGGGAAAUAUAAUUAUUCAGUGACCGCAGAGUUUCUUGCAUGUUGAGGAUGUGCUCGCAGUAACCCUGCAGGCAUGGAUUGUGGACCUGUCUGUUAUUUCACUGUAACCUGUGUGUUGAUAAGAGAGAGAGCCUGUUAGACUCUGGGUUGAACAGCAGGAUUGAAUGACACUUCAGGGAGGUAAGUUGGGGACCCUACACACUGCAUUUCUUCAUUUCUUCAGCAAAUGGAAAUCUUAGUUCCAGGCCAACGACCGAGCAGACAGUCUAGUACUUUGCAUAGGGUAGAAGUCGAUGCAUAUUUCCUGAAGAAAUGCUGCUGAAUGAAGGAAAGACUAUUCGGGUGAUGUGGAGCUCAGAGGGAGAGAAGAAAGCACCGCUCAGGAAUGUGAGUCCAAGAAAGGCAGGGCUGAGGAGUCUGCGAGCUGCCUGACUUCCGGCUGCGCUGAGCCUUGGUGGGGAGGAGAGGAGCCGUUGUGUGAAACUGGGUACAGCUGGGAUGCUAAGGGGCUUGCUUCUUCGAGUGACAGAUUAUAGCUGAGAGAAACGGGCUAAAAAAUUACCCUAUUUUAAUUACGUGAGGGCAGAAGUAGGUAUUAGGCUGUUGCUUCGUCUAAAAGGGAUUUCAUUCAGAGAGCUGUUGACAUUCUGUUGGAGGUCCAUGACACAUCACGUUCUAUUCCUCCCGGCUAGUCUAAAUUCUCUAAAAUUUUCCGGAUUAUUGUGUAAAUUAUCUUAGCUUCUGACCGGGAAACAAUACUAUUAAUUUUUGGCCAGGAGACAACUCAGCCGCACAGUCUGGUGCCAGGGCAUAGUGACCUGUCAGAGGUGAACCUUCUGGUCUUUGGGGAAUGUUAUCCCUCCCCCCAAGGGGAGGAUGCCUUUUCUGGAGUUCAGGCCACCACCCUCCAAUCUAGGCCGACUUUCCCAGUGGUGGGGAGGUGGCUGCCCUCGGAACCGGCUGGGAUCACGAGCAAUCAGUGGGACCUCCCAUGGGGCAGGGGUGGCACUGCCCACCCUCUCUGUAGGCGGGAUCUCUGUGACAAAAAUCCCACAAUGGAAAAUGGCUCUUGUUCAGAAAAAUCGGAGAAGCCGGAAUUUUCCUUCUCCUAUUGGACAUCCUUGUCCCUCUCCAAUCCCUUGGCAGGUAUCAGCCUAAAACGUUUCUGAAGACUUAAAGCUUUCUAGGCCUAAGGAGGGAGUUUGGGAGGGAGGAUGUUUUUAAACCACUGACUCCUGUUAUUUCUGUUGAAGGGCACUUAGACCUAGUCUCCUUGUGUCUCUCUGGUUUUACAUUAGACAAAGCGAAGCAUUUGGGCAUUUGUCCUGUUUGUAUGACCCUGGAGAGAGCUCUGGGGUGAGUCCCCAGGCAGGAAAAGUCACUGACCGGUGUCUGAAAUCUGAGGACGUCUGGGGCCUGAGGCUGGGCAUUCAGAUCUACUACAAACAACAGUGCGUUAUACGUCAAGUGAUUUGAAUAAUCUCAUUUUUCCUCUAAAUUUGAGCAUGUAUAAAAUAUUGAUUUCAUCAACAAGUGGAGCAAAUGCCACAGCGAAUCUGUUCUCCGAUGGUGCACCUGGUAUGUGGAGAAGCCUGUCGAGAGGGGCCGUGAACAUAAUCAUGCUUUAUUAGCUGCAUGGGCUUUUUCCUUUGUUUCUUUUCAUUUAAUUCAAAGUGAAACAACUCAGCAUGCAAAACUGAAAUUAGCUGGGAAAAAAAAAAAGGUGUAAGUGAAUAAACAGGCAGAUCCAUUAGAGUCGAUGGGUUAUCGGAUCCCUUGCCACUCCUCAGACAGCGGCCUAUUAAAAGCGGUAAUGUUUGCUGCCGGCGGUGCCCCUGGCAAAGAAAGAAGGCCAAGGCAGGCCUAUUUCACAUGCAUCAGACACAAGAAUUAAAUAGACCAAUGUUCCCUAAAAGACUGAAGUACAUCUCUUUCUGACGUUCAUCUCAGGCAAAAAUUCAUUGAUCUCAGUAUGUCCCUUGGCAAUUAUAAAAUAUUAAAUCCAAGUCACACUUUUCUAGUUGGCUUAAUUUUUUCUCUUUUCACAGCUUUCUAUUUGAUCAAUUUUAACAAGUUAGGAAUAGCAUCUAAUAAUAAAAAGUGCAGAGUUUAAAAGUUUGUUCUUUUGACAUUCUUUUCUUUUUUAUUUUGUUUUGGGUUUGCAUUAACUUUGUGUUAUAUAAAAUGACUUGAAUGCCAUUUUAACAAACAGAAAGAACAUGAGUGAACCAGAAGGUUCUUUACUGAGAAUGAUAUUCAUUAGUAGGCAUCCAACGAUAAGGACAGCCUGAUUUAAAGAUUUUUAUUUUUUUUUUUUAGCACAUGCCCAAAUAGCCUUCUUAUUGUUUUGUAGUCAUUAAUGCUCCUCUAUUCCAAAAUUAGCAUGUGGUUUCAGCUGGGAGUAUCUGGUGGGGCUAGAGGUUUGACUGCGUUCCACUGAGAUUUACAAAAGAUGCAAAUUCCUUUCCCCAUUUUUAUGCAUAUGUAAUGUUUUAGUGUUUGAUGUUUGUUAAUUCAGAAUAUACCAUAAAUGCUAACACAGACACACAUGAUAAAAAUGCAGAAUUUUGGCAGCCCGUUUUCAUUAGACCAUCAGUAUGGGAAUUAUUGGGGGGAAAUGUUGCAUAAUAGUAACUUUACUCUCCAAUUCUCCUUGCCAUAAACUAUGAGCACAUCCCCCCAAAUUUAUAAUUUAUAAUAUAUAGAAUCAUUUUAUGUGAAAUAAUAAAUUCUUCUGAAAUAAAAUCUAUUAUGGUCUUCUCCCUACAUUUAAGUUUUCAUAUGGGAAAGUUAUUCACCUGUUGUCUACCAAUUCCUUUAUUUAAAGCUUUAUUUAUAUUAUGUCAUUUAAUUCUUACCACAAAUCCAUGAGGUCAUGGUAUUGUCUCCACUUUUCAGAUAAGAGGUGCAAGGGGCCCACGAUCAUCCAGCAACUUCCCUCUCUGGCCAGCCAGGCCAGUCCCUCUGGGGUUUUGACAGCAGGAUCAGAAAGAAAGAGAGGAGGAGAGAAGGUCAGGGUGGAGAGGGAGAGGCCUGGGGGAUAGUGCUGAGGAGUGUUGAAAAGGAUGGGGCCACUGCAGUACGUCAGGGAGAAAGCAGGAGAGAAGAGCCAGGUUCAGAAGCAGUGCUGUGAUCUGUGUAUCUCCCUUAGACUGUUGGAGGAAUGUCAGGAUUGAACUUGGCUUAUUUUGAAAUUUAUUAUGUUUACAUUGACAGAUUGUGUUUCUUUGUCUGAGACACUACCCUGAGACUGGACCACAUAGGUGAUGGCUUUAUAAUUACUAAGGUUGUUUUGAAUGGCCAAUUACAAUGUUUCAAAGAGAAUUCAAAAUAGAGCUGGAGCAUGGGGACGAGAAGGCUCUAAGCCUGGUGGCUUCUGGGCUCCUAAUAGGCUCUGCUUGGGUCUCUAAAGGGGCAUCAGAUGCAGAAUUUUCUGCACAGUCUCUUUGUGGCUGCCAUUGUCAUUCUCCUCCUCUGCCUGUUUUCCCUUGCUGCCCGUGUGUCCUCACCUCGCUCACCAUGCAAUGAUGAUGCAUUGCAUUUUCCUCUCUGAGAUGGCAAGAAAAGACCUCUCAAGGAGAUGAUUAGUGCCAUAGGGGUCCAAACUGCCGUGAGCCAUCUCUUGUCAUGGUCCAGACAACGCAGGGCCUGCUGUGGGACCCUGAGCCCAGGGCCAGCAGUGUGUACCAUCAUGGUGGGCUCACCCACCUCUGCGUCUCCCACCGUGGUGUCCCCUCUCUGAGUCACUAGCCUCCAUUAAGGUUUGCUCCCUCAUCUGCAUGCUGAGAUCUCUUUUAUCACUCCAGCACCUAGAACAUGGCUUGACACAGAACAGGUGUCCAGGUAGGAUCUGUUGAGCAGAAGGAUGGAUGGAUGGGUGGAUGGAUGGACGGACAGACUGGAGAAUGGUUGAGAGUAUCUCGUAAACUCAUGUCAGGAACUGAAAUAGGCUACUCCUCCGAGGAGCAUCGGCAUUUUUUGGAAGACCUAAUGUUGAUGAAAAUAAUCAAUAAACAAUCUAUGAUAGGAAUAGAAAAGAGUUUUAUGUGAGCCAAACUGAGGACUAUAGUCUAGAAGACAGCCUCUCGGAUAACUGAGGAACUGCUCCGGAGAAGCACGGUUUUCAGCACAGUGUUAUAUCUUGGCAGAACAAGGAACAUUAAACAAGUCUGGGAUACAUUCCUUCAGGGUUUCCAUAAAAAACAGAUCCGCACGUCCACAGUGAGUCAGUAUGGCCUGGCACCUGGGAAGGGAGUCUUAUCAAAGGAGUAUGCAUUGGCACCCCAGUAAGGUAGGCAUUUCAUCUUUAUUUUUAAUAUGGACAUUCUUUACUUCUGGUCAGUGCACCCUUUUCUAAAUAAUUAAAGCAGACGUACAACGUGUGUUUGAUAGGCCACAAACAGUCUGCUUUAGUUAGCAUACAGUUCAAGUUAAUUCAUGUAUAAGCCAGAAUGACUUCCCCUUUUCUCAAUAUGUGAACAUUUCUUCUAUCACUAGGAAGGAUGCUACACACACCAAGAAAUGUUACCCCAAAGUGGGGUUACCCAAAGUUUGCUCCUCUGACCACCUGUUAUGCAACUUACCUGAGCAGCCUUUUCAUUGGGUCUUUGGGCCCCACACAAGACCUACUUAAUCAGAAAUGUGUCUUUUUAAUAGGUGCUCCAGAGGAUUCUUUUGCACUCCAGUAUUUGAGAAGUUCUGCUUUUCUAAAGGUGGAGCCUCAGUUAUCUCAUCUGUAAACUGGGAGUAAGAAGAACAACCUCCUUGGUUGCUUCGGACACCACGGGAAUGUGAGAAACCUUUGCAAGUCUUAAAAUGCGCAAAGGCUCUGCGCAUAUGUGCCCAUUUUAACCUUGAAUCCUGAAGUGUAUCUGGGGUGAUUUCCUUCCUCCAUUGGUGGAUCUGGGGGAAGACUCUCCUCCCCUCCAGAUCUGAACCUCUAUGUGCCUUGCGAGAGAAAAGUGCCUCUUGAAGGUCUGUGUGCAGUGAAACUUUGCACAGGCUUUGAGGGUUGCAGCAUGUCCCCACAAUCCCCUUUUCCAGAUUAAAUGUUUGCAUCUCUUGUUAUAUUAGGAAUUAGACCUACUUUGUGAUCAUUGCACCUGAGUACCUGUAAAAUACAAAAAUACAGCAGUGGCUGGUGUCUACGAAUUGGCUGUUUUUGGUGUGCAUGCGUGCCUCCGUGUGUGUGUGUGUGUGUGUGUGUGUGUGUGUGUGUGUUUGUGUGUAAUAUAUAUUCAAGGCAGGCAAAACGGUUUACAUAUUCCCAACCCAUGUUAACAAGAUGUUCUUUCCUGAACAUAACAUGUUUCUGAAAAUUCCUGAAUCUUUCACUCUGAAACUCAACAAUAUUGUUAUUAAAAUGGUUCUGUUUAAAGAA